GACGAACCGUGCGAACGUUGUUCGGAAUCACUGGGCUUAAAGGGCGCGUAGGCGGGCCGCCAAGUCAGGGGUGAAAUCGUUCGGCUUAACCGGACAAGUGCCUCUGAUACUGGCGGCCUCGAGGGGGGUAGGGGCCUGCGGAACUUCCGGUGGAGCAGUGAAAUGCGUAGAUAUCGGAAGGAACGCCGGUGGCGAAAGCGGCGGGCUGGACCCCUUCUGACGCUGAGGCGCGAAAGCCAGGGGAGCGAACGGG
rnacentral:rRNA from 1 species